UUCAGGUGAUCAGGGCCGACUUUGUGCUGUGGUGUUUGCUGUGGUGUGACAAGUGGUGGAGGACUUAAUAAGAUGAUCUUUGGAAGCGGAACCAAACUGAUGAUAGAACCCAGGGAUGUGUUGGAACCGUCCUACUACAACCUGAAAACCAAGACCAACUCCAGCCUGACUGCGUGUCUGGCCACUGGGUUCAGCAGACAGAGGGCAACCGACAAGUACUCAUUCUUUAAAGAACUGAAUGACAAAAAUCAAUCAGCUGUUCAGAUCUCAGGCUCCGGCCUCUACAACCAAGUGGCUCUGAUAGGAGAGGACCAAAAGUGCGAGUCAGAUCCAAACAGCAAUCAGAAGUGUGCAGACACUUUGGAGUCAGAUCCGAAGAUGAACUUCCUGACUAUGAUCGUUCUGGGCCUCAGGCUGCUCUUCAUCAAGACCAUUGUCUUCAACGUUCUGAUGACUGUGCGCCUGUGGAUGAGUCGAUGAACCCCCUCCCCUUCGCCAGGAAAAGCAAACUCUGAAGCGUCAAACUGCAAAAUCGCUGACUCAGCUUAUUUCCUACUUUCAUUUGACUGUAUAAUAAGAUGUAACCUCCUGCUCCUGUCACAUAUUAUCAUGUUAUGUCUUUCAUACUAUACAUAUUUUUUGUUCUUUCUUCAUUUUGACAGUCUGAUAUUUGACUUCUGUGAAACUGCGUGAUGUGUUUCUUACAAUAAAAGGAAGCCACUCA